rnacentral:rRNA from 1 species
CACGUAGUUAGCCGGCGCUUCCUUCCGCAGGUACACGUCACCUUCGUCCCUGCCGAAAGAGGUUUACAACCCGAAGGCCUUCAUCCCCCACGCGGCGUCGCUGCGUCAGGCUUCCGCCCAUUGCGCAAUAUUCCCCACUGCUGCCUCCCGUAGGAGUCUGGGCCGUGUCUCAGUCCCAGUGUGGCCGGUCGCCCUCUCAGGCCGGCUACCCGUCGUCGCCUUGGUAGGCCACUACCCCACCAACAAGCUGAUAGGCCGCGAGCCCACCCCCGACCGGAAGAACCAAAAGGCCCAACCUUUCCACCCACCCCCAUGCGAGAGCAGGUCAUAUCCGGUAUUAGACCCGGUUUCCCAGGCUUAUCCCAGUGUCCAGGGACAGGUUGCUCACGUGUUACUCACCCGUUCGCCGCCCGAGUACCCCCGAAGGGGCCUUCCGCUCGACUUGCAUGUGUUAAGCACGCCGCCUAGCGUGUCGUCGAGCCACGGUAGUCAACGUAC